rnacentral:tRNA from 1 species
AUUUAAGUAGUUUAUAAAAAAUAUUAAUUUGUGGAAUUAAAGAAAUAUAAAAAUAUCUUAGAUA